AUUUAAAUAUUUUAAAAAAAAAUUUAAUAUUGAAGUUAUUAAGAUAGUUAAUUUAUUUAACUUUUAAAUA
rnacentral:tRNA from 1 species